rnacentral:tRNA from 1 species
GCCGAAGUGGCGGAACUGGUAGACGCGCUGUCUUGAGGGGGCAGUGCCAGUUAUGGCGUGCGGGUUCGAGUCCCGCCUUCGGCA